rnacentral:rRNA from 1 species
UGCUUCCUACGGGGGGCAGCAGUAGGGAAUCUUCCACAAUGGACGAAAGUCUGAUGGAGCAACGCCGCGUGAGUGAAGAAGGGUUUCGGCUCGUAAAGCUCUGUUGGUAGUGAAGAAAGAUAGAGGUAGUAACUGGCCUUUAUUUGACGGUAAUUACUUAGAAAGUCACGGCUAACUACGUGCCAGCAGCCGCGGUAAUACGUAGGUGGCAAGCGUUGUUCGGAUUUAUUGGGCGUAAAGGGUGCGUAGGCGGCCUGCUAAGUCUGGAGUGAAAGGUACCGGCUCAACCGGUACAGGCUCUGGAA